rnacentral:rRNA from 1 species
UACGGAGGGUGCAAGCGUUAUCAGGAUUCACUGGGUUUAAAGGGUGCGUAGGCGGGUUGGUAAGUCCGUGGUGAAAUCUCCGAGCUUAACUCGGAAACUGCCGUGGAUACUAUCAAUCUUGAAUAUCGUGGAGGUAAGCGGAAUAUGUCAUGUAGCGGUGAAAUGCUUAGAUAUGACAUAGAACACCAAUUGCGUAGGCAGCUUACUACACGAUCAUUGACGCUGAGGCACGAAAGCGUGGGGAGCAAACAGG